rnacentral:lncRNA from 1 species
GCUCUGAUGUCCAGAGUCUAUAAAUGACUGGCCCCUUCCUUCAAUCAAGAAAUAACCUCACUAAACCCAGCUGCGGGAGAGAAUAAAAACCCAAGACUUCCCAAAGGCUGAGCUGAGAGCAAAGAGGCUGCUUCUCUCGUGGCCCAGCCUCGCUCUCUGCAGGUCCCCCAGCUCACACUGUGCGGCCCACAGACCUCCAUCUGCUUGACCAGUCUGCUGCGGUCAUCUUUGAGGUGACUCUUGGCUUCCAGCUCAUACUCCAGGUCCUUCAGCGUCUGCUCCAGAAGCUGCCUUUUUGUGGCACUCAACUAACAGCUUUGAAGAAAGUGCAACAGACAAAACAGCUUGAUUCACAAGGGCCAGUCUGUGUCUUGAACUUCUCUAGAAGCUCCCUGGGGAGACCAGCCAGCUCAGGGCACAGUAGGUCUUCCUUAAACAUCUGUGUAGGCUGAUCUGGUGAAGCCACAGGCUGUCUGCUUUGUUCUAAGUGUCCUACCCUCUUGGAGUUGGUACUAGUAUUGAGUAGAGCUAGUCUCAGGAAUAGAAUACACCAGGGGGUCUGUUUCCUUAAGAGUAUAUGAAAGCGAAUGGCCAUCUCCACUACAGAAUGCCACCCUUCUGCAGUGUCUGUCACAGGAGAGUUGGAAAGCCCCAGUAGUUGAGGACAGCUUUGGAGAACCCGUGGAAAAACUUGAGGAAAUGUGUUCUUCUCUGGGAGGCUGACAGGAGCACCGGGCAUUUCUACGAGAACAGCCUAGCCUUGAAGAUGACAUCACCAGAUGAAGACCCACAUCGG